UCGUGGGGCAGCAGGGUUGUAGCAAUACAAUCGCUGGCGACCGGCAAACGGGUGCGUAACACGUACGCAACCUUCCCGUUACUGUGGCAUAGCCCAGGGAAACUUGGAUUAAUACCACAUAUUAUAUAGAUAGGGCAUCCUUUUUAUAUCAAAGCUUCGGCGGUAACGGAUGGGCGUGCGGUUGAUUAGGUAGUUGGCGGGGUAACGGCCCACCAAGCCUACGAUCAAUAGCUGAUGUGAGAGCAUGAUCAGCCACACGGGCACUGAGACACGGGCCCGACUCCUACGGGAGGCAGCAGUAAGGAAUAUUGGGCAAUGGACGAAAGUCUGACCCAGCCAUGCCGCGUGAAGGAUUAAGGUCCUCUGGAUUGUAAACUUCUUUUCUCUGGGGCGAAAAACAGCUAUUCUUAGUUGCUUGACAGUACCAGAGGAAUAAGCACCGGCUAACUCCGUGCCAGCAGCCGCGGUAAUACGGAGGGUGCAAGCGUUAUCCGGAUUCACUGGGUUUAAAGGGUGCGUAGGUGGGCUAGUAAGUCCGUGGUGAAAUCCCCGAGCUUAACUCGGGAACUGCCAUUGAUACUAUUAGUCUUGAAUAUCGUGGAGGUAAGCGGAAUAUGUCAUGUAGCGGUGAAAUGCUUAGAUAUGACAUAGAACACCAAUUGCGAAGGCAGUUUGCUACACGGUCAUUGACACUGAGGCA
rnacentral:rRNA from 1 species